rnacentral:rRNA from 1 species
UACAGAGGUCUCAAGCGUUGUUCGGAUUCAUUGGGCGUAAAGGGUGCGUAGGUGGCGCCGUAAGUCGGGUGUGAAAUUUCGGAGCUUAACUCCGAAACUGCAUUCGAUACUGCGGUGCUUGAGGACUGGAGAGGAGACUGGAAUUCAUGGUGUAGCAGUGAAAUGCGUAGAGAUCAUGAGGAAGACCAGUGGCGAAGGCGGGUCUCUGGACAGUUCCUGACGCUGAGGCACGAAGGCCAGGGGAGCAAAUGGG